UACGGAGGGUGCAAGCGUUAUCCGGAUUUACUGGGUUUAAAGGGUGCGUAGGUGGGUAGGAAAGUCAGUGGUGAAAUCUCCGGGCUUAACCCGGAAACUGCCAUUGAUACUAUUUGUCUUGAAUACUGUGGAGGUCAGCGGAAUAUGUCAUGUAGCGGUGAAAUGCUUAGAUAUGACAUAGAACACCAAUUGCGAAGGCAGCUGGCUACACAAAUAUUGACACUGAGGCACGAAAGCGUGGGGAUCAAACAGG
rnacentral:rRNA from 1 species